rnacentral:lncRNA from 1 species
AGAGAAAAAGAAACGAGAGGAAGAAAGAGAGAAAUGAAAGAGUGAGAGAGAGGAAGAAGGAUAAAAAGAAAACGAGAGGGAGAAGGAAGGAGAAAAAGUGAGAGAGCGAGAAAGGAAAGAGAGAGAAAAAGAAACGAGAGGAAGAAAGAGAGAAAUGAAAGAGUGAGAGAGAGGAAGAAGGAUAAAAAGAAAAACGAGAGGGAGAAAGAAGGAGAAAAAAGUGAAAGAGCGAGAAAAGAAAGAGAGAGAAAAAGAAACGAGAGGAAGAAAGAGAGAAAUGAAAGAGUGAGAGAGAGGAAGAAGGAUAAAAAGAAAACGAGAGGGAGAAAGAAGGAGAAAAAAGUGAGAGAGCGAGAAAAGAAAGAGAGAGAAAAAGAAACGAGAGGAAGAAAGAGAGAAAUGAAAGAGUGAGAGAGAGGAAGAAGGAUAAAAAGAAAACGAGAGGGAGAAAGAAGGAGAAAAAAGUGAGAGAGCGAGAAAGAAAGAGAGAGAAAAAGAAACGAGAGGAAGAAAGAGAGAAAUGAAAGAGUGAGAGAGAGGAAGAAGGAUAAAAAGAAAACGAGAGGGAGAAAGGAGAAAAAAGAGAGAGCGAGAAAAGAAAGAGAGAGAAAAAGAAACGAGAGGAAGAAAGAGAGAAAUGAAAGAGUGAGAGAGAGGAAGAAGGAUAAAAAGAAAACGAGAGGGAGAAAGAAGGAGAAAAAAGUGAGAGAGCGAGAAAGAAAGAAAGAGAGAGAAAAAGAAACGAGAGGAAGAAAGAGAGAAAUGGAAAGAGUGAGAGAGAGGGAGUAAGAAGGAGAAAACGAGAGGGAGAAAGAAGGAGAAAAAAGUGAGAGAGGGGCGAGAAAAAGAAAAAGAGAGAGAAAAAGAAACGAGAGGAAGAAAGAGAGAAAUGAAAGAGUGAGAGAGGGAGAAAGGAUAAAAAGAAAACGAGAGGGAGAAAGAAGGAGAAAAAAGUGAGAGAGCGAGAAAAGAAAGAAAGAGAGAAAAAGAAACGAGAGGAAGAAAGAGAGAAAUGAAAGAGUGAGAGAGAGGAAG